AACGAACGCUGGCGGCAGGCCUAACACAUGCAAGUCGAGCGCGCCCUUCGGGGUGAGCGGCGGACGGGUUAGUAACGCGUGGGAACGUACCCUUCUCUAAGGAAUAGCCUCCGGAAACGGAGAGUAGUACCUUAUACGCCCUUCGGGGAAAGGAUUUAUCGGAGAGGGAUCGGCCCGCGUUAGAUUAGAUAGUUGGUGGGAUAACGGCCUACCAAGUCUACGAUCUAUAGCUGGUUUUAGAGGAUGAUCAGCAAACACUGGGACGUGAGACACGGCCCAGACUCCUACGGGAGGCAGCAGUGGGGAAUCUUGGACAAUGGGCGCAAGCCUGAUCCAGCCAUGCCGCGUGAGUGAUGAAGGCCCUAGGGUCGUAAAGCUCUUUCGCCUGUGAUGAUAAUGACAGUAGCAGGUAAAGAAACCCCGGCUAACUCCGUGCCA
rnacentral:rRNA from 1 species